rnacentral:rRNA from 1 species
CAGCCGCCGCGGGAAUACGGAGGGGGCUAGCGUUGUUCGGAAUUACUGGGCGUAAAGCGCACGUGGGCGGUUUUGUAGGUCAGAGGUGAAAGCCCGGAGCUCAACUCCGGAACUGCCUUUGAGACUGCAUCACUUGAACGUCGGAGAGGUGAGUGGAAUUCCGAGUGUAGAGGUGAAAUUCGUAGAUAUUCGGAAGAACACCAGUGGCGAAGGCGGCUCACUGGACGACUGUUGACGCUGAGGUGCGAAAGCGUGGGGAGCAAACAGGAUUAGAGACCCCCGUAGUCCCUGUCUCUUAUAC